UACGAAGGUGGCGAGCGUUGUUCGGAUUUACUGGGCGUACAGGGAGCGUAGGCGGUUGGAUAAGCCCUCCGUGAAAUCUCCAGGCUUAACCUGGAAAGUGCAGAGGGGACUGUUCAGCUAGAGGAUGGGAGAGGAGCGCGGAAUUCCCGGUGUAGCGGUGAAAUGCGUAGAUAUCAGGAGGAACACCUGCGGUGUAGACGGCUUACUGGACCAUCACUGACGCUGAGGCACGAAAGCGUGGGUAGCAAACAGG
rnacentral:rRNA from 1 species